rnacentral:rRNA from 1 species
GCUCGUAGUCGGAUUUUGGGCGCGUGUGAACUGUCAGCCUCUGGUUGGACGGUGCGCGCGUGCCUUUCUGCUUGGGAGCCCCAUGGUGGUUAAUUCUGUCGUGGUGGGUCACAGGCCGUUUACUUUGAAAAAAUUAGAGUGUUCAAAGCAGGCUGUUGCUUGAAUAGAUUAGCAUGGAAUAAUGGAAUAGGACCUUGGUGCUAUUUCGUUGGUUAUGGGACUGGGGUAAUGAUUAAUAGGGACAGUUGGGGCCGUUCAUAUUUCGUUGUCAGAGGUGAGAUUCUUGGAUUUACGAACGAUGAACUUGUGCGAAAGCAUUCGGCAAGGAUGUUUUCAUUGAUCAAGAACGAAAGUUAGGGGAUCGAAGACGAUCAGAUACCGUCGUAGUCUUAACCAUAAACUAUGCCAACUAGGGAUCAUUGAGUGUCAAUUUACGACCUCAUUGGCACCUUGUGAGAAAUCAAAGUUUUUGGGUUCCGGGGGGAGUAUGGUCGCAAGGCUGAAACUUAAAGGAAUUGACGGAAGGGCACCACCAGGAGUGGAGCCUGCGGCUUAAUUUGACUCAACACGGGGAAACUUACCAGGUCCAGACAUAGUCAGGAUGGACAGAUUGAAAGCUCUUUCUUGAUUCUAUGGGUGGUGGUGCAUGGCCGUUCUUAGUUGGUGGAGUGAUUUGU